UGGACUAGCGACUUGGAUCCAAAUUUUGUUACACCGCCGUUAAAUCCCGUUUCGUGUUGACUUGGCGGUGGGUCAUGCUGCUACCACUUAAAGGUUACUGCGUAAGGAGGUAUUGUUGGGGGGAAUUCAUUGUUUCAUACCAUCGUACCUCCCUGACAUUCAGCUGCUGUAGAACCAGUCUCAGCUGCUGAGUCUCAGCUGCUGUAGAACCAGUCUCAGCUGCUGAGUUUCAGCUGCUGUAGAACCAGUCAUUGUAGAGUGUACGACACAUUCCAGCCAACAAUGUUGUGCAAAAUAUUCAUCUAGCCUACUUCAAGCAGUCUUGCUGGGUUUGAAUACUAAUGGCCCGUAGAACGAUGGACAGAUAGGAAAUGAGCACUCUUCAGCCAUGUAUUCUUGCUGAAGGACUCGAUGACACUGGUUGCCGCGGCGGAUACCAAUGCAUCGGUGGGCUGAACAAAGGGAAUGCGUGGGUGGUGGUGGCCCACGAGGAUACAGGAAGUGACCCAUACAAAUCAAAUACACAACCAGAUCUGAGCCGCCAGUCAGGGCCGCUCAGUGCCGACGAGAUCUGAUCACAAAGGUGUCAUGGAGCGGUGUGACCGAGCCCCCAGAGACACGACGCAGGAGACCUACCUUGGGUGGUUUAAAAGGAUAAUCUGUGGGGAAAUGAAUAGUGAGGAAAAAUACUCCGCCCUGGUAGGGACUGUCAUUCUGCAGGGGGGAAAGAAGAGCAGCAGAUCAUCAGUCCCCACCUUCAACAGCGCAUCAAUCUGUACAUUUGAUACCGGUUUAGUUUAAUGUAUACUUACAGGCCCCAUAAUAGUAGCUUGCCAGUGAAA